rnacentral:rRNA from 1 species
AGCGAACGCUGGCGGCAGGCCUAACACAUGCAAGUCGAACGGACCCUUCGGGGUUAGUGGCGGACGGGUGAGUAACACGUGGGAACGUGCCUUUAGGUUCGGAAUAGCUCCUGGAAACGGGUGGUAAUGCCGAAUGUGCCCUCAGGGGGAAAGAUUUAUCGCCUUUAGAGCGGCCCGCGUCUGAUUAGCUAGUUGGUGAGGUAAUGGCUCACCAAGGCGACGAUCAGUAGCUGGUCUGAGAGGAUGACCAGCCACAUUGGGACUGAGACACGGCCCAAACUCCUACGGGAGGCAGCAGUGGGGAAUCUUGCGCAAUGGGCGAAAGCCUGACGCAGCCAUGCCGCGUGGAUGAUGAAGGUCUUAGGAUUGUAAAAUCCUUUCACCGGUGAAGAUAAUGACUGUAGCCGGAGAAGAAGCCCCGGCUAACUACGUGCCAGCCGCCGCCGUAA